rnacentral:rRNA from 1 species
CGGGUGAGUAACACGUGGGGAACCUGCCCGCAAGACCGGCCUAACUCCGGGAAACCGGAGCUAAUACCGGAUAACACCAAAGACCGCAUGGUCUUUGGUUGAAAGGCGGCUUCGGCUGUCACUUGCGGAUGGGCCCGCGGCGCAUUAGCUAGUUGGUGAGGUAACGGCUCACCAAGGCGACGAUGCGUAGCCGGCCUGAGAGGGUGACCGGCCACACUGGGACUGAGACACGGCCCUUAUUCCUACGGGAGGCAGCAGUAGGGAAUCUUCCGCAAUGGACGAAAGUCUGACGGAGCGACGCCGCGUGAGCGAAGAAGGCCUUCGGNUCGUAAAGCUCUGUUGAGAGGGACGAAGUAGCUCCGUUUGAAUAAGGCGGCCCUUGACGGGGGCCCGCACAAGCGGUGGAGCAUGUGGUUUAAUUCGAAGCAACGCGAAGAACCUUACCAGGUCUUGACAUCCCCUGACAACCCAAGAGAUUGGGCGUUCCCCCUUCGGGGGGACAGGGUGACAGGUGGUGCAUGGUUGUCGUCAGCUCGUGUCGUGAGAUGUUGGGUUAAGUCCCGCAACGAGCGCAACCCUUGCCUCUAGUUGCCAGCAUUCAGUUGGGCACUCUAGAGGGACUGCCGGCUAAAANUANNANGAAGGUGGGGAUGACGUCAAAUCAUCAUGCCCCUUAUGACCUGGGCUACACACGUGCUACAAUGGGCGGUACAAAGGGCUGCGAACCCGCGAGGGGGAGCGAAUCCCAAAAANCCGCUCUCAGUUCGGAUUGCAGGCUGCAACUCGCNUGCAUGAAGCCGGAAUCGCUAGUNNUCGCGGAUCACCANGCCGCGGGGAAUACGUUCCCGGGCCUUGUUCACCCCGCCCGUCACA